UGCGCGCCGGGUUUGCCGGUCGGGAGCAGCUGCCGGGGGUUUAUAGGCAGGGCCCGGGGCUGCUCCUGCGCUGGCCCCUCCCCCGGCCCGGUCCCCGUGUUUAUUUUGCUCCUUAGCGUGGUUUGCUGCGGGUCUGUGUAUCGCGCUCGCAGCUGGAGAGCGGCGAGGGGACGGCUGUGUGUCCCCUGCACGACCAUCUUCCCUGGGUAAACAGGCUCCUCUCCCCGCCUCCCUUGGCACUCCGUGCCCUGUGCGCUUUGUGCCACCGAACCGGGGGGUUUUCUCUCCUCUCACAAUGACAAACGCCAUUUCAGCAGCAACGAACGCUCAUGUAGUGUGAUCGACUGUCGGACUUAGCUCUGGGCUUCUGUGACGGCGUGUCAGCUGCUGUUACAGCCUGCUCUCCUCUUUGCACACAUCGUGCUCGGGGGCAAGAGGUUAAAAAAAUAAAACAAAAAUCCAGCCUUUUAAUUUUUUCUUCUCUGAAGAACAACAGCGUCUGACAGUAGUGUGCCGGAUUGUUUGCAUAGAUGCCGUGUGCCCAUCUCACUACGAACUUCCGACGUGGAUGGCGUGGUUUAAUGUUGCAGAAAUCAUGGAACAUUAUCCCUUCUGGCUGGGCAACAGCUGAGAGAGCGAGAGGGCUGCUGGAUCGUCGGGAGCCUUCCAGUGCUACAGGGAUAAUGUCGGAGGGGAGGAGGGACUUGUUCAGUGCGUGGUGUGUUGGAGUUAAAACCUUGUGAUGCAACUUUGGGGGUAGCAUGUGUGAAAGGAUUGUGGUGGGUGCCCCCUCCCCGCAGCAGAGCUCUGCCAGAAUUGGAGGUGGGUGCAUAUGUUCUUCUUCUGAUAGAACGGAAGAGAUUGUUUUUAGCUCCCUUAUGAAAAUAAGGAGAGGGGAAAAAAAAGGAAAUUACUUAGAAAUGCAAAUGAUCAAGCUCUUUGUUUUAUGCUUUUUAACGUUAUUGUAGUGUAUUUUUUAUUUUGUCUCUGGGUUUGGUUUUUUGUUUUUUUUUAAAUCGACAUAUGUUUGGUGUAUAUUUUGCUCGUACCUUUUAAGAAUCUGCAACAAGAGCUGCAGUCUUCCACUGCUAGAAAACUGCCCCUAGAGCUUGUUCUGUGAGAAUGAUACAUUUCUAACUUUGGCUUUUUAUCGAACUGUUACGUUAUGUAAGUUUGUAUCGGUGCUUCUGUUUGAAGGCAUGUAGUAAUAUUUAUAAAUAUGUAGCAGUGCUCUGUGUAUCGAGAUGCAGGAAGGGUGAUUUGAGGGAUUGUUAUGGUGAUUUUGACUACGGCUGCUCUUAGCCAGGGAGGAAAAUAAAUCGGGAAGCAUGAAGGGAACAAUCGUAUCUGAUUGUAGAAGGGAGGCAGUGGAGGGUUUGCUCCUCAGAGUUGUGAAGUCCCCGUUCAUUAAUGCAGACUGGAGUGUGUGUUUGGAGAGGCGGAACUUCUCCUGCAGUUGCAAUCUGCAGAUCUGUCACUGGUAAAAAUAAUUGUUGGCAUGCAAUUAGCAUAAAUUAUAAAGUGAAGCUAUUUCAUAGUUAUUGUGGUUUGGUUGCUUUUUUCUCCCACCUGACUAGGCUAGGGAAAUGUUCAAUUUUAAAUGGGUGUGUAAUAUCACUGAAAUAAGUUAAAUGAAAUUCUUUUGCAAGUGGCUUUAAUAAUAAUGAGUUGAAUGUGCAACCCUUUAAUCUGCUAUGUAAUUUUGUGGGAGGUAUCUGUGCCUUAAUGUGGUGCUGUGUAUGAAACUCUGCUUUUAUUGUAUUUUGGCUCUACCAAAAAAAAAAGGAAAUAAAGUAGUGUAUUUUUAAAAUACAGCCUAUGUGAAAACUAUUAGGAAGAUUUAUUUUAUAUUGUGUUAGGUUUUUUGGGGAUUUAUGUAGCAGAGAAA